CAGGCUUAACACAUGCAAGUCGAGGGGCAGCAUGGUCUUAGCUUGCUAAGGCCGAUGGCGACCGGCGCACGGGUGAGUAACACGUAUCCAACCUGCCGUCUACUCUUGGACAGCCUUCUGAAAGGAAGAUUAAUACAAGAUGGCAUCAUGAGUCCGCAUGUUCACAUGAUUAAAGGUAUUCCGGUAGACGAUGGGGAUGCGUUCCAUUAGAUAGUAGGCGGGGUAACGGCCCACCUAGUCUUCGAUGGAUAGGGGUUCUGAGAGGAAGGUCCCCCACAUUGGAACUGAGACACGGUCCAAACUCCUACGGGAGGCAGCAGUGAGGAAUAUUGGUCAAUGGGCGAGAGCCUGAACCAGCCAAGUAGCGUGAAGGAUGACUGCCCUAUGGGUUGUAAACUUCUUUUAUAAAGGAAUAAAGUCGGGUAUGGAUACCCGUUUGCAUGUACUUUAUGAAUAAGGAUCGGCUAACUCCGUGCCAGCAGCCGCGGUAAUACGGAGGAUCCGAGCGUUAUCCGGAUUUAUUGGGUUUAAAGGGAGCGUAGAUGGAUGUUUAAGUCAGUUGUGAAAGUUUGCGGCUCAACCGUAAAAUUGCGGUUGAUACUGGAUAUCUUGAGUGCAGUUGAGGCAGGCGGAAUUCGUGGUGUAGCGGUGAAAUGCUUAGAUAUCACGAAGAACUCCGAUUGCGAAGGCAGCCUGCUAAGCUGCAACUGACAUUGAGGCUCGAAAGUGUGGGUAUCAAACAGGAUUAGAUACCCUGGUAGUCCACACGGUAAACGAUGAAUACUCGCUGUUUGCGAUAUACUGCAAGCGGCCAAGCGAAAGCGUUAAGUAUUCCACCUGGGGAGUACGCCGGCAACGGUGAAACUCAAAGGAAUUGACGGGGGCCCGCACAAGCGGAGGAACAUGUGGUUUAAUUCGAUGAUACGCGAGGAACCUUACCCGGGCUUAAAUUGCAGAUGAAUUACGGUGAAAGCCGUAAGCCGCAAGGCAUCUGUGAAGGUGCUGCAUGGUUGUCGUCAGCUCGUGCCGUGAGGUGUCGGCUUAAGUGCCAUAACGAGCGCAACCCUUGUUGUCAGUUACUAACAGGUUCCGCUGAGGACUCUGACAAGACUGCCAUCGUAAGAUGUGAGGAAGGUGGGGAUGACGUCAAAUCAGCACGGCCCUUACGUCCGGGGCUACACACGUGUUACAAUGGGGGGUACAGAGGGCCGCUACCACGCGAGUGGAUGCCAAUCCCCAAAACCUCUCUCAGUUCGGACUGGAGUCUGCAACCCGACUCCACGAAGCUGGAUUCGCUAGUAAUCGCGCAUCAGCCACAGCGCGGUGAAUACGUUCCCGGGCCUUGUACACACCGCCCGUCAAGCCAUGGGAGCCGGGGGUACCUGAAGUGCGUAACCGCGAGGAGCGCCCUAGGGUAAAACUGGUGACUGGGGCUAAGUCG
rnacentral:rRNA from 1 species